GGUCUAAUAGCACAGUGGUUAGUGUAGCUCCGUAACUUGGUCUGAAGGGUGCUUGAUAUGGAGAAGAGCUCGGUUCGAGUCCGGGUUAGGCCA